rnacentral:misc_RNA from 1 species
AACGCAAAUGGCGCUGCAGGGCUUGCUCUGCAGCAUGUCUGUUUGAGUGUCAGAUCUUUACCUCUCGACUCCAAGUAACAUUGGGUUGGGGCUUGACAUGAGGUGUUGACUGCGUAUUUGGUUAUGCAGACAUCCCUUUAAAUCCAAAGGAAUGAGACCAGCGAGUGCCAUUGAUACUUCUGCUCCCAUCACAAAACUCCAGCCUAAAGCAACUGUUUCAGUCUUGUACUGAGGCAAAAUACUUUGGUGUGGUAAAUGUGCUUCGUCAAAGACCAUUUUGCUAAGUCGCAUUAGGCUUUUGUGCAUCGUGUGUGGAAGUAUUCAAUCCAUUUGCUGCGCGUGUCGUUCCGCAAACAUAUAGUUUGCAUGCUUCGUUGAUGGGUCCUGCCAGUGUUCCUUACGAAUGGUUGGCGGAUCCCCAGUGAAUGCAUUCAACUACCUUUUUUCUCUUAUGACCUCAAAUCAGGCAAGAUUACCCGCUGAACUUAA